GUACACUCCUACGGGAGGCAGCAGUGGGGAAUUUUGGACAAUGGGCGAAAGCCUGAUCCAGCAAUGCCGCGUGAGUGAAGAAGGCCUUCGGGUUGUAAAGCUCUUUUGUCAGGGAAGAAACGGUGAAAGCUAAUAUCUUUUGCUAAUGACGGUACCUGAAGAAUAAGCACCGGCUAACUACGUGCCAGCAGCCGCGGUAAUACGUAGGGUGCAAGCGUUAAUCGGAAUUACUGGGCGUAAAGCGUGCGCAGGCGGUUUUGUAAGUCUGAUGUGAAAUCCCCGGGCUCAACCUGGGAAUUGCAUUGGAGACUGCAAGGCUAGAAUCUGGCAGAGGGGGGUAGAAUUCCACGUGUAGCAGUGAAAUGCGUAGAUAUGUGGAGGAACACCGAUGGCGAAGGCAGCCCCCUGGGUCAAGAUUGACGCUCAUGCACGAAAGCGUGGGGAGCAAACAGGAUUAGAUACCCCAGUAGUCCCAU
rnacentral:rRNA from 1 species